rnacentral:rRNA from 1 species
UAGCCUACGGGACGCAGCAGUGGGGAAUAUUGCACAAUGGGGGAAACCCUGACGCAGCAACGCCGCGUGCGGGACGAAGGCCCUCGGGUUGUAAACCGCUUUCAGCAGGGAAGACUUUACGACGGUACCUGCAGAAGAAGCUCCGGCUAACUACGUGCCAGCAGCCGCGGUAAUACGUAGGGGGCGAGCGUUAUCCGGAUUCAUUGGGCGUAAAGCGCGCGUAGGCGGCCGCCUAAGCGGGACCUCUAACCCCGGGGCUCAACCCCGGGCCGGGUCCCGGACUGGGCGGCUCGAGUGCGGUAGAG